rnacentral:rRNA from 1 species
GGUUGCGAUCAUACCAACACUAAUGCACCGGAUCCCAUCAGAACUCCGCAGUUAAGCGUGCUUGGGCGAGAGUAGUACUAGGAUGGGUGACCCCCUGGGAAGUCCUCGUGUUGCAACCC